CAGGAGGGAGGGCUUGAACCGUAGUUUCAUGCUCAGAAUAAUUAGAGGUUUUUUUAUUCUUUCAUUGAUGCUCAUUCAGGCUUUCUGGACAAAAACAACGACCUUCUCUUCAGGAAUCUGAAAGAGGCUAUGUGCAUGUCUGAGAACAAGAUCCUGACGCAGUGUUUUGACCGAGACGAGCUGAGUGACAGGAAGCGUCCUGACACGGCAGCCACCCAGUUCAAAGCCAGUCUGGCCAAACUGAUGGAGAUCCUGAUGUCCAAGGAGCCGUCCUACAUCCGCUGCAUCAAGCCCAAUGACUCCAAGCAGGCGGGUAAGCUGCUCCCCUUCCUCUUUCCUCC